UGAAAUGGACGUUUCUGCCAAAGUCAAUGAGUAAAACUGACAGUGCGGAUGACUAACCUCCAGCCCAGAGCCUUUGGCAGCUCACACCUUUGUGCAAAGCAUGUUACACAGACUGGUCCCAAGGAUUCACAGACUGGCCUGAGGCUCUGAACUCCACCUUGAUUCACCAAUUUGCCUAAAAUAUGCUACAAAAGAAACUUCUGUGUUGCAGAAGGCUUCAAGGUGCUGUUCAUGUUUUCAGAAUGAUCUGCGACAAUAUCAGGUUUGAUUAUGACCAUCCUAUAUCAGAUCUCUGACACCUUUAGCAGUUGAGGCCUGGCUAGUGCCUGGCUAGGUUACUCGGGAUGGGCCUGUGAGGAUGACAGCAUCCCUGUUCCUGCUGUGUUCUCUGCUUCCUGUCCGCUGAGAUGUGAACAACCUCUGCUACCCCUCUCCACCAUAAACUGUGCUACCACAGUCGCUUCCCUUCAGCGAUGGGCUCUGAAACUGUGAGGAGAAAUAAGCCUUUUCCUGGGUAACUUGUUUUCGUCUGGUGUUUGGUCAUGGUCCACACAAAUUACUGAUAGACCAGCUGAGUCAAAGCCAAAGUACAUCUUAAGUAAUCUAAUCUCAGUGUGGCAUUUACUUCACAGUCUACAUUUGUUGUUAAGUUCU
rnacentral:lncRNA from 1 species